ensembl:lncRNA
GGUCAGCAGACCCCACUUUGGGAACCGCUAAACGCCAAUUUAUGCUUGAUCCGAAAGGUGGUAGGAGGCUUAGAAGCAAGAGGCAUGCAGAGGCUCGGUACAGUAUCGAUGUGGAGGACUCGGUACAGUAACGAUGUGGAGGGCUCGGUACAGUAAUGAUGUGGAGGCCUCGGUACAGUAAUGAUGUGGAGGACUCGGUACAGUAACGAUGUGGAGGGCUCGGUACAGUAAUGAUGUGGAGGACUCGGUACAGUAACGAUGUGGAGGCCUCGGUACAGUAUCGAUGUGGAGGCCUCGGUACAGUAAUGAUGUGGAGGACUCGGUACAGUAUCGAUGUGGAGGCCUCGGUACAGUAACGAUGUGGAGGACUCGGUACAGUAUCGAUGUGGAGGACUCGGUACAGUAUCGAUGUGGAGGACUCGGUACAGUAUCGAUGUGGAGGGCUCGGUACAGUAUCGAUGUGGAGGACUCGGUACAGUAUCGAUGUGGAGGACUCGGUACAGUAUCGAUGUGGAGGCCUCGGUACAGUAACGAUGUGGAGGACUCGGUACAGUAUCGAUGUGGAGGACUCGGUACAGUAUCGAUGUGGAGGACUCGGUACAGUAUCGAUGUGGAGGACUCGGUACAGUAUCGAUGUGGAGGACUCGUUACAGUAUCGAUGUGGAGGCCUCGGUACAGUAACGAUGUGGAGGACUCGUUACAGUAUCGAUGUGGAGGCCUCGGUACAGUAUCGAUGUGGAGGCCUCGGUACAGUAUCGAUGUGGAGGCCUCGGUACAGUAUCGAUGUGGAGGGCUCGGUACAGUAACGAUGUGGAGGGCUUGGUACAGUAACGAUGUGGAGGCCUCGGUACAGUAUCGAUGUGGAGGCCUCGGUACAGUAACGAUGUGGAGGGCUCGGUACAGUGCCUUCAGACCCCUUGGCUUUUUGUUACAUUACAGCCUUAUUCUAAAAUGGAUUCAAUAAAAAUGUUCCUCAUCAAUCUACAUCACAAUACCCCAUGAUGACAUCACAAUACCCCAUGAUGACAUCACAAUACCCCAUGAUGACAUCACAAUACCCCAUAAUGAUAUCACAGUACCCCAUAAUGACAUCACAAUACCCCAUAAUGA